rnacentral:rRNA from 1 species
UAUCUCUGUAGAGUCUGCAUAUCAAUAAGCGGAGGAAAAGAAACUAACUAGGAUUCCCUCAGUAACGGCGAGUGAAGCGGGAAGAGCUCAAAUUUGAAAUCUUCAAGGUUUUACCUUGACGAAUUGUAGUUUAAAGAAGUGUUUUCUGUUGGAGUUUUGGUAAAAGUUCUUUGGAAAUAGGACAUCAUAGAGGGUGAGAAUCCCGUAUUUGACCAUUAUUUCCAACUUUGUGAUACACUUUCAAAGAGUCGGAUUGUUUGGGAAUGCAGUCCAGAAUGGGUGGUAAAUUUCAUCUAAAGCUAAAUACUGGCGAGAGACCGAUAGCGAACAAGUACCGUGAGGGAAAGAUGAAAAGAACUUUGAAAAGAGAGUUAAACAGUACGUGAAAUUGUCAAAAGGGAAGCGUUUGACACCAGUGUUGUUUUCUCGAAAAUCAAUUAAAAAUGGCAGGAUUUUGUGUUGUAUUGACUUUAUCAGCUUUCUGCACUUUUUUCAUGUCUUUUUUAAUGCACUUUUCGUUUAACAAGUCAACAUCAAUUUCUUUUGUUGUAAAAGAGGUCAUUGGAAGGUGGCUUUCUUUUCGGAGAAAGUGUUUAUAGCCUUUGACUUCUGCAAUCGGAGAGAUUGAGGUCUGCAGCGUAGAUCCUUCUGGAUUAGAUACAUUUGUGCUAAGCUAUAGCCUUUUCAUAGACAACAUUGUUGACUAUAUUCAGUCAUGUAACUUACUCGCUUAUGCUAAUUUUACCUACGCUUAGGAUGUUGAUCUCUCACAGUCGAGC